AGCUCCAAUAGCGUAUAUUAAAGUUGUUGCGGUUAAAAAGCUCGUAGUUGGAUCUCGGCAGCCAGGGGGCGGUUCGCUCCAAAGCGUGACUGCCCCAUUUGGCUGUGUGAUUGGCGGAGGUUCCGGGGUGCUCUUCGUUGAGUGUCCCGGUGCGCCGUCAGGUUUACUUUGAAAAAAUUAGAGUGCUCAAAGCAGGCUUUUCAGGCUUGAAUAUUCGUGCAUGGAAUAAUGGAAUAGGAACUCGUUCCUAUUUUGUUGGUUUUCGGGAAUCGAGUUAAUGAUUAAUAGGGACAGUUGGGGGUAUUCGUAUUCCGUUGUCAGAGGUGAAAUUCUUGGAUUUCCGGAAGACGAACUACUGCGAAAGCAUUUACCAAGGAUGUUUUCA
rnacentral:rRNA from 1 species